rnacentral:rRNA from 1 species
CUACGGGACGCACCAGUGAGGAAUUUUGCGCAAUGGGGGAAACCCUGACGCAGCAACGCCGCGUGAGCGAAGAAGGCCCUCGGGUCGUAAAGCUCUGUCAAGUGGGAAAAAAAUUCUUUGAUCAAUAGUCAGAGGACUUGAUGGUACCACUGGAGGAAGCACCGGCUAACUCCGUGCCAGCAGCCGCGGUAAUACGGAGGGUGCAAGCGUUGUUCGGAAUUACUGGGCGUAAAGAGCGUGUAGGCGGUUUGGCAAGUCAGAUGUGAAAGCCCUGGGCUCAACCUGGGAAGUGCAUUUGAAACUGCUUGACUAGAGUAUGGGAGAGGAGAUUGGAAUUCCUGGUGUAGAGGUGAAAUUCGUAGAUAUCAGGAGGAACACCCGUGGCGAAGGCGAUUCUCUGGACCAAUACUGACGCUGAGACGCGAAAGCGUGGGGAGCAAACAGGAUUAGAUACCCUAGUAGUC